rnacentral:rRNA from 1 species
UACGUAGGGGGCGAGCGUUGUCCGGAGUUACUGGGCGUAAAGGGCAUGCAGGCGGUCGGACGCGUUUCGGGUGACAGCGGGUGGCUUAACUACCCGAGUGGUCGAAAGACGGUUUGACUUGAGGACGCGAGAGGGACACGGAAUUCCGGGUGGAGUGGUGAAAUGCGUAGAGAUCCGGAGGAACACCGAAGGCGAAGGCAGUGUCCUGGCGCGUAACUGACGCUGAGGUGCGAAAGCCAGGGGAGCGGAACGGG